AGUCGCCACGGGAAUACAGAGGGUGCGAGCGUUAAUCGGAUUUACUGGGCGUAAAGCGUGCGUAGGCGGCUUCUUAAGUCGGAUGUGAAAUCCCUGAGCUUAACUUAGGAAUUGCAUUCGAUACUGGGAAGCUAGAGUAUGGGAGAGGAUGGUAGAAUUCCAGGUGUAGCGGUGAAAUGCGUAGAGAUCUGGAGGAAUACCGAUGGCGAAGGCAGCCAUCUGGCCUAAUACUGACGCUGAGGUACGAAAGCAUGGGGAGCAAACAGGAUUAGAUACCCGCGUAGUCCCUGUCUCUUAUACA
rnacentral:rRNA from 1 species